AAAUAGAAGGUCAGACCAUUCGGAUGGCAGCAGUGAAUUUAAAAUUGUCCACAACAUCAGUUCGUGUCUGCAGAAUCGAAACAGUCAGACAUAUUGGGUAGAGUUACAUCGUGGGUACAUCAAAAUGAUUAAAUUGAUUUUUGUAAUGAUCAUGAGUCUGGCUGUGAAAGACGUUCACCUUCAGCGAUCAUCUUAUGCUGGUUCGGCAAAUAAAUUUCGUGGUCAACCAGUAAAUCUAGCACCAGAAGUGCCCUCUCUUCCAACGACAGGACUUUCACCAUCAGUAGCUACGGAAGCUAGAAGUAUUCCGACGACAGGACUUUCACCAUCAAUAGCUACACAAGCUGGAAGUGUUGAAUUAGUGACUAGUGCAACAGCAACUACAACCACCCCGAUACCGAUAACUCAACCUAAAGUUUCCUUGUUGUCGGGACGAUUCGGUGAAUUUGAUUUGAAUCAGAACAACGAUCAAUAUCGUGACUACUAUGAGCAUCGUCAUCAUCAGGGCGAUUGGCAUAAAAACCACCGAAAUAGGCAUUUUGAUUAUGGAUUUUUUUGAAUAAAGAGUGAGAUAUCAUUGUGACUGAGUGACAAAAA